rnacentral:tRNA from 1 species
GCCCCUGAAGCUCAAUUGGCCGAGCAUCGCCCUUGUAAGGCGGCUGUUGUGGGUUCGAAUCCCAUCGGGGGCU